AGUAAAGUCAGCUAAAUAAGCUCUCAGGCCCAUACCCUGAACAUGACGGUUAAUAGUCCUUCCUUUACCA
rnacentral:tRNA from 2 species